GUGGGGAAUAUUGGACAAUGGGCGAAAGCCUGAUCCAGCCAUGCCGCGUGUGUGAAGAAGGUCUUCGGAUUGUAAAGCACUUUAAGUUGGGAGGAAGGGCAGUAAGUUAAUACCUUGCUGUUUUGACGUUACCGACAGAAUAAGCACCGGCUAACUUCGUGCCAGCAGCCGCGGUAAUACGAAGGGUGCAAGCGUUAAUCGGAAUUACUGGGCGUAAAGCGCGCGUAGGUGGUGUUGUAAGUUGGAGGUAAAAUCCCCGGGCUCGACCUAGGAACUGCCUCCAAAACUGCAUGACUAGAGUACGGUAGAGGGUAGUGGAAUUUCCUGUGUAGCGGUGAAAUGCGUAGAUAUAGGAAGGAACACCAGUGGCGAAGGCGACUACCUGGACUGAUACUGACACUGAGGUGCGAAAGCGUGGGGAGCAAACAGGAUUAGAUACCCGGGUAGUCC
rnacentral:rRNA from 1 species